rnacentral:lncRNA from 1 species
AUCCAUACUGGUUUAUACUGGUUUAUACUGGUUUAUACUGGUCCGUACUGGUCUAUACUGGCUUACACUGGCCUGUACUGGUCCAUACUGGUUGAUACUCACGCAGAGCCCCACACAGCACCAUCAGCCCCAGUGCCAGCCCGUGCCUGGCCCAGAGCCCAGCUCACCCAAACUGGUCCAUACUGGUCCAUACGGGUCUAUAUUGGUCUAUACUGGAUUAUACUGGUCUAUACUGGUCUUUACUGGUCUAUAACGGUCUAUACUAGUCUAUACUGCUCCAUAUUGGUUGAUACUGGUUCACACUGCUCUAUACUGGUUUAUACUUCUUAUACUGGUCUAUACUGGAAUACACAGGUGUAUACUGGUCCAUACUGGUCUAUACUGGACUAUACUGGUCUUUACUGGUGUAUACUGGUUUAUACUGGUCUGUGCUGCUCCAUACUGGUUUAUACUGGUCUACUGGUCCAUACUGGUUUAUACUGGUCUGUACUGGUCUAUACUGGUCUAUACUACUCCAUACUGGUUUAUACUGGUCUACUGGUCCAUACUGGUUUAUACUGGUCUGUACUGGUCUAUACUGGUCUAUACUACUCCAUACUGGUUUAUACUGGUCUACUGGUCCAUACUGGUUUAUACUGGUCUGUACUGGUCCAUAUUGGUUUAUACUGCUUCAUACUAGUUUAUACUGGUCCAUACUGGUUUAUACUGGUCUGCACUGGUCCAUACUGGUCCAUACUGAUCCAUACUGGUUUAUACUGGUCUAUACUGGUUUUUACUGGUCUGUGCUGGUCUAUACUGGUUUAUAAUGGUUCAUACUGGUCCAUACUGGUCUAUACUGGUCCAUACUGGUCUAUACUGCUCCAUACUGGUCCGUACUGGUUCAUACUGGUCUAUACUGGUUUAUACUGGUAUAGACUGGUUUAUACAGGUCUGUGCUGGUCUAUACUCGUCUAUACUGGUCCAUACUGGUCUAUACUGGUCUAUACUGGUCCAUACUGGUUAUACUGGUCUACACUGGUUUAUACUGGUCCAUACUGGUUAUACUGA